AGUGAACGCUGGCGGUGGGCCUAACACAUGCAAGUCGAACGGCAGCACAGUAAGAGCUUGCUCUUACGGGUGGCGAGUGGCGGACGGGUGAGGAAUACAUCGGAAUCUACUUUUUCGUGGGGGAUAACGUAGGGAAACUUACGCUAAUACCGCAUACGACCUACGGGUGAAAGCAGGGGAUCUUCGGACCUUGCGCGAUUGAAUGAGCCGAUGUCGGAUUAGCUAGUUGGCGGGGUAAAGGCCCACCAAGGCGACGAUCCGUAGCUGGUCUGAGAGGAUGAUCAGCCACACUGGAACUGAGACACGGUCCAGACUCCUACGGGAGGCAGCAGUGGGGAAUAUUGGACAAUGGGCGCAAGCCUGAUCCAGCCAUACCGCGUGGGUGAAGAAGGCCUUCGGGUUGUAAAGCCCUUUUGUUGGGAAAGAAAGGCAGCAGGUUAAUACCCCGCUGUUCUGACGGUACCCAAAGAAUAAGCACCGGCUAACUUCGUG
rnacentral:rRNA from 1 species